ensembl:lncRNA
CGUUGCUGCAUGAAAAAAUAAUUUAUUAACCCAUCAAUAAUUUAUUAACUUUGAUCUGGUUAGCGUCAAGGUAUGUCUGGGUGUACAUCUAAAUAUCUUAAAAUGGCUUCUUCUCAUCAUUCUCCUUUAUCUGCCCUGAUCUGGACCGACGGGAUAGGUGAAAGCCCUGAUCUGGACCGACGUUGAAAGCCCUGAUCUGGACAGACGGGAUAGGUGAAAGCCCUGAUCUGGACAGACGGGAUAGGUGAAAGCCCUGAUCUGGCCAGACAGGAUAGGUGAAAGCCCUGAUCUGGACAGACAGGAUAGGUGAAAGCAAUUUGACAGAACCCUAAUAGAGGGCUUCCCUUUUCCAGUCCUGUAGAUUUGGAUCAGUGCGGCUGAAGGGAAGAGGUUGACCAAAGGAAGCCACAUUAGACAACUGAGUUGUACCCACAUAGGCUCCUGGUUCUCACCAUUCCCCCAUCGGAUCCAAGGCACUAUGUGACCGACCCCAGGGACCGUAAUAGUGCUAAAUGCUUGACAUGAGCACCUAAUGGGUUAAAAACAGAGCAAACACCAGACGCAUUGACCACAAGUAGCAACACAACCUCUCAUCUGCAGGCCAAUGACAGUAUCAAUUGGUGCUUAUAGGCACUUUUGUCUAAAGACAGUGGAAAACACCUACUGCACAGACAUACAGCAAUUCACAUAUUUCAAAGUACUUUCAAUCAUUUUAGAUGACAAAGCCACAUUUUAAAGCACAAAAAAAACAGUAUUCACUUGACUCCAUGUUAACCCCACAGAACAAAGUUAUACAUGCAGAAUCUGCAUUCAAACCAUUAACUUGUAUUUGCUGAAUAACAGUAAUGUAUUAGCUAGAUGCUUUUGUUUG